rnacentral:rRNA from 1 species
UACAGAGGGUGCGAGCGUUAAUCGGAAUUACUGGGCGUAAAGCGUGCGCAGACGGUCACGUAAGUCGGGUGUGAAAGCCCCGGGCUCAACCUGGGAAUUGCAUUCGAGACUGCGUGGCUAGGGUGCGGAAGAGGGAAGCGGAAUUUCCGGUGUAGCGGUGAAAUGCGUAGAUAUCGGAAGGAACACCAGUGGCGAAAGCGGCUUCCUGGUCCAGCACCGACGUCAGGCACGAAA